GACGAACGCUGGCGGCGUGCCUAAUACAUGCAAGUCGAACGCAGUGGGGACGGGUGAGUAACACGUGGGUAACCUCCCAUCAGAGGGGAUAACACUUGGAAACAGGUGCUAAACCGAUACUGAUGGAUGGACACGCGGUGCAUUAGCUUGUAGGUGAGGUAACGGCUCACCUAGGCGACGAUCCCUAGCUGGUCUGAGAGGAUGACCAGCCACACUGGAACUGAGACACGGUCCAGACUCCUACGGGAGGCAGCAGUGGGGAAUAUUGCACAAUGGGCGCAAGCCUGAUGCAGCCAUGCCGCGUGUAUGAAGAAGGCCUUCGGGUUGUAAAGCCCUUUUGUUGGGAAAGCGGUACCCAAAGAAUAAGCACCGGCUAACUUCGUGCCAGCAGCCGCGGUAAUAC
rnacentral:rRNA from 1 species